rnacentral:lncRNA from 1 species
UCCAAAGCCUCAGCGAGGCUCCAUUUGACUGUUGUAAGAUCAGAAUGAGCAUGCAGACCCACUGAGUUGACUGGCAAAGCUUUACUAUGGAUAACCACAGAUGCAACCGCAUGCUGUGUCUUUAGGAAAAUGGGAGCAAGUGGAUUGUGUCAGAUGUCCAAAUGGUAACCAUCACCUACUCAACUGGAGGAGACUAUUUUUGUGCCCGAUUUGCUUGCUGGAAACUGCAGAACUUCAAUGUCUGCAGUGAAAAUGGAAAGAAAAGAAAACCAGUUGUCUGCCUUGGUGAUGAGAGCAGAAAGUCAAGAGCAGCAAUAUAGGCAGCUAACAAGCAUUUAAUGAUUCAGCUGGUAGACAGGACUACAGCUGGACAUUGGAGAGAAGCAGCUUGACUUCAGAAGGACAGCUUGAUGGCAUAUAACUUCGGAGAAGCAUCCUGCCGGAGACAGCUGGGCUUCAGAGGAAGAUUACCUACCCACUCUGUCCCCUUUUCAGCUCCCCUUCCCACUGAGAGCUACUUUCAUUGGCAAUAAA